AUACUUACCUGUACAAGGUCAAUGGGUAAGCACAAAGGCCCAUGGCCUAGGGUAGUAGUCCUUAUUGUAGCUGAAGGGUGCACCACUCUAAUGUCUCACCAUGUGGGAGAGCCAAUGUCAUAAUUUGUAGUAGAAAGAGUUUACAUUCGUGCGGCCCCUAC